CGCCGCUCUGCCCUCCCCCCCCCCCGCCGCGUCCCUCCGGCCACCCCCCCGCCGUGUCACUUCGUGUCACUUCUGCCCUCUCCGGGGUGCGGGGGUCGCGUCCCGCAGUGCCCGGGGACUGCCCUCCCCGCGCCUGCCCCGCGGGAGGUGCCGGGCAGCCCACCACGGGCUGCGACUGCCGGGAGAGCCGGGGGUCAGCGCUUCCCAUUCCCAACAUCCCAAACGGACGGAGCCAGCGCUGAUUUGACGUUUCACCCCCGCCUGGGUAAGGCUUUUGCCCCAGCCACGGGUCAAGGUCGGGACAUGAGGCGAUAUCCCGGCCUCUGGCACGUCGUGAGGAUGCUGCGGCGGCAGAGACAGUCCUGGUCCAUGGGGAGGUAAUGUCCAGUUUGGACACUGCACCAGAGCUCCUCCAGCACAGCACCUCAUCCCACUGGAAAGAAGGUCGUGACACCAAGACCUGCACCAUUUUCAUGCCCCAUUUUUAAUCCAUUUCCUGCCACACACGUAUUUCUCAGUGACUUCUUGUUAUUUUCUACCAAUGCCAUCAUCUAGUGCAGAAGUUACUGAUGGAGCUUGCUCUGGAGGCACCACCUCUGCCUUCUAACAACAAACUUCACAAUCACCUCCUCGGUUCUAUCACUGUACCUGGGCUGGGGUGAUGAUGCUGGUUGUGCUGUGCCCCCCUCCCUGGCAGCAUGGGCCGUGCACAGCACUGCCAACUUUGUCAUGCUGUAUUUUGUACUCAUCUCCGGCCAGCUCUGAGCAUUCACUUAGGAGAUGACUAAUACUCUCUGGGGCCUGGCCACACAUCCUGCACUCUGGAGUUGAAGCUUUCCAACCAGCUCUCUGUGCUGUAGCCUGUCCUCUGCAAAUAGCCUAUGUGGUUUUCACCAAAAUCUCUGUUUCUCCUCUCGGGGCUUUCUCACAAGUUAGGCGUCUUCUUGAUACAAAUUUCUCUUUCAAAAUCUUCUGCAGGUCUAUGUCAGAAGGACAGAUCCUGCUACAGUAGCCCUCUCUUCCCUCUUUAUUAGCACCACGCAAAAGGCUGAGCAGGUCAUAUCCUCUAUGACACCUUUGAGGGUUUCUGUUGCUGACGCAUCAGAACAGCUUUGCCAGGGUAGGAGCUGCCCACGGAGGUCACUGUUAACCAGAAAGCCUGAAACCCCAGAGUUCCUGAUACGUAAAACCACAAAGCCACCAUCAGUGGCCUCGUCACAUCUCCUCACCUAAAAGCUGGUUCAUCUGCAAAGUAAACACCGUGAUACACAGAUAAGGCACGAUAAGUAGAAUUAGCUCCAUUUGAACUGUAUUUCAGAUAUAAAGUGACAAAAGGUGUUGGUGCUUCUAGUCAUGGGAAACUGUUCUGAAGACACGGUCAACAAACACAGUAUUGCUGUUCAGAGAUGGCAGUGGGACUUGGAUAUCCAUACCUGAGGGUAUCAUUAUGGAUACUGGCAUUAAAUAAUAAAAUAAUUAAAAUUAAAUAAUAAUUAAAUAAAAUAAUUAAAAUUGAAGUGUGA